UCUGACACAGGUGCUGCAUGGCUGUCGUCAGCUCGUGUCGUGAGAUGUUGGGUUAAGUCCCGUAACCGAGCGCAACCCUUGUCCUUAGUUACCAGCACGUUAGUGGUGGGCACUCUAAGGAGACUGCCGGUGACAAACCGGAGGAAGGUGGGAUGACGUCAAGUCAUCACUGGCCCUUACGGCCUGGGCUACACACGUGCUACAAUGGUCGGUACAAAGGGUUGCCAAGCCGCGAGGUGGAGCUAAUCCCAUAAACCGAUCGUAGUCCGGAUCGCAGUCUGCAACUCGACUGCGUGAAGUCGGAAUCGCUAGUAAUCGUGAAUCAGAAUGUCACGGUGAAUACGUUCCCGGGCCUU
rnacentral:rRNA from 1 species